rnacentral:rRNA from 1 species
GAUGGACGCUGGCGGCGUGCCUAAUACAUGCAAGUCGAGCGAACGGACGAGAAGCUUGCUUCUCUGAUGUUAGCGGCGGACGGGUGAGUACACGUGGAUAACCUACCUAUAAGACUGGGAUAACUUCGGGAAACCGGAGCUAAUACCGGAUAAUAUUUUGAACCGCAUGGUUCAAAAGUGAAAGACGGUCUUGCUGUCACUUAUAGAUGGAUCCGCGCUGCAUUAGCUAGUUGGUAAGGUAACGGCUUACCAAGGCAACGAUGCAUAGCCGACCUGAGAGGGUGAUCGGCCACACUGGAACUGAGACACGGUCCAGACUCCUACGGGAGGCAGCAGUAGGGAAUCUUCCGCAAUGGGCGAAAGCCUGACGGAGCAACGCCGCGUGAGUGAUGAAGGUCUUCGGAUCGUAAAACUCUGUUAUUAGGGAAGAACAUAUGUGUAAGUAACUGUGCACAUCUUGACGGUACCUAAUCAGAAAGCCACGGCUAACUACGUG